UCUUAUGAAUGAGCAAAGAAAGUGGUUUCUAAAAUGGAAUCUUCUCCCAGUGAAAAUGCUGUGAA
rnacentral:pre_miRNA from 1 species